rnacentral:rRNA from 1 species
GACGAACGCUGGCGGCGUGCUUAACACAUGCAAGUCGAACGGAAAGGCCCUGCUUUUGUGGGGUGCUCGAGUGGCGAACGGGUGAGUAACACGUGAGUAACCUGCCCUUGACUUUGGGAUAACUUCAGGAAACUGCGGCUAAUACCGGAUAGGAGCUCCUGCUGCAUGGUGGGGGUUGGAAAGUUUCGGCGGUUGGGGAUGGACUCGCGGCUUAUCAGCUUGUUGGUGGGGUAGUGGCUUACCAAGGCUUUGACGGGUAGCCGGCCUGAGAGGGUGACCGGCCAAAUUGGGACUGAGAUACGGCCCAGACUGCUACGGGAGGCAGCAGUGGGGAAUAUUACGCAAUGAGCGGAAGCAGGAGGCAGAAGCGCCGAGUGCGGGAUGACGGCCUUCGAGUUGUAAACAGCUUUCGCAUGUGACGAAGCGUGCGUGACGGUAAUGGGUAAAGAAGCACCGGCUAACUACGUG